GGGGUUGUGGCUCAGCAGUAGAGCGCUCGCCUCACACGUGCAAGACCCUGGGUUCGAUCCUCAGCACCACCU
rfam:Ictidomys tridecemlineatus contig101742, whole genome shotgun sequence.